rnacentral:rRNA from 1 species
UACGUAGGGUGCAAGCGUUAUCCGGAUUUACUGGGUGUAAAGGGGGCGCAGACGGCGAUGCAAGCCAGGAGUGAAAGCCCGGGGCCCAACCCCGGGACUGCUCUUGGAACUGCGUGGCUGGAGUGCAGGAGGGGCAGGCGGAAUUCCUGGUGUAGCGGUGAAAUGCGUAGAUAUCAGGAGGAACACCGGUGGCGAAGGCGGCCUGCUGGACUGCAACUGACGUUGAGGCCCGAAAGCGUGGGGAGCAAACAGG